rnacentral:rRNA from 1 species
GAAGAAAGAGGGAGGGGGGAAGAAUACAUGUAAGUAGAACGCUGAAGAGAGGAGCUUGUUAUUUUUGGAUGAGUUGGGAAAGGGUGAGUAAAGCGUAGGUAAUAUGUUUCGUAGUGGGGGAUAAAUAUUGGAAAAGAUAGCUAAUACCGCAUAACAAUGGAUGACACAUGUCAUUUAUUUGAAAGGGGCAAUUGCUCCACUACAAGAUGGACCUGCGUUGUAUUAGCUAGUAGGUGAGGUAAUGGCUCACUGAGGGGAUGAGACAUAGGCGACCUGAGAGGGUGGUCGGCCAAACUGGGACUGAGACACGGCCCAGACUCCUACGGGAGGCAGCAAUAGGGAAUCUUCGGCAAUGGGGGCAACCCUGACCGAGCAACGCCGCGGGAGUGAAGAAGGUUUUCGGAUCGUAAAGCUCGGUUGUAAAUCAAAAACGGGUGUGAGAGUGGAAAGUUCACACUGUGACGGUAGCUUACCAGAAAGGGCCGGCUCCCUACGUU